rnacentral:rRNA from 1 species
CGUAGGUGGCAAGCGUUAUCCGGAAUUAUUGGGCGUAAAGCGCGCGUAGGCGGUUUUUAAGUCUGAUGUGAAAGCCCACGGCUCAACCGUGGAGGGUCAUUGGAAACUGGAAAACUUGAGUGCAGAAGAGGAAAGUGGAAUUCCAUGUGUAGCGGUGAAAUGCGCAGAGAUAUGGAGGAACACCAGUGGCGAAGGCGACUUUCUGGUCUGUAACUGACGCUGAUGUGCGAAAGCGUGGGGGAUCAAACAGGAUU